rnacentral:rRNA from 1 species
AGAGUUUGAUCCUGGCUCAGGAUGAACGCUAGCGGCAGGCCUAACACAUGCAAGUCGAGGGGUAUAGAGAGCUUGCUUUCUAGAGACCGGCGCACGGGUGAGUAACGCGUAUGCAACCUACCUUUCACAGGGGAAUAGCCCGGAGAAAUUCGGAUUAAUGCUCCAUAGUUUAUUUAGAUGGCAUCAUUUGAAUAAUAAAGAUUUAUCGGUGAAAGAUGGGCAUGCGUAUCAUUAGCUAGUUGGUGUGGUAACGGCAUACCAAGGCGACGAUGAUUAGGGGUCCUGAGAGGGAGAUCCCCCACACUGGUACUGAGACACGGACCAGACUCCUACGGGAGGCAGCAGUGAGGAAUAUUGGUCAAUGGAGGCAACUCUGAACCAGCCAUGCCGCGUGCAGGAUGACGGUCCUAUGGAUUGUAAACUGCUUUUGUACGGGAAGAAAUGUUACUACGUGUAGUAAUUUGACGGUACCGUAAGAAUAAGGAUCGGCUAACUCCGUGCCAGCCGCCGCGGUAAUAC